rnacentral:lncRNA from 10 species
AAAGCACCAUGCUUUGUAACAGCAUCGGGGUCGUUGCAGGACCCCCUGAUUACAAUAAAGCGAGAAAGAAGAACUCCUGACUUAAAAACAUGAUAUUCCUUCAGUGUAGGAAGCAGCAGUGAGGUUGUAAUAAAGGCUGCAUUCAAGAAGACCCAUCUGAACAGUGAGUUGGGUUAGCAGAGUGAUGAUUUUUAAUGCUUGUGAGAGCCAGUGUUAGACUGCCGAUUCUGCAUAGAGAGAUCAUCUAAAUGGGCAGAAGCCUGCACAAUUUAUGAAGUGCUGAUUUAACACCAGCCUAUGCAAGGUCUCACUGUGUUGCCCAGGUUGGAGUGCAGUGGCGUAACCUCCCAGGCUCCAUUGAUCUCCCUCCUUAGCCUCCCAGAUAGCUGGGACUACAGAUGGCCCAAGGGGCUAUACAAAGAAAGCUGUUUGCACAGGAUAGAAUUAAGAGCAGCAUGUCAGCAUUCCGUCUGCAGUUGAGAUGUUGAUUCCUCCUUGUAUUGCACAUUGCUGAAAGGGGCUUCCUGAGGCUGGAGAGAGCAGUGAGG